rnacentral:misc_RNA from 1 species
GUCCAUGGCCAUUUUAUCAGUGGGGAAUUGAUGUCCUAGGUCCAUUUUCUAAGGCUUCAAAAUCUAAAAAGUAUGUCAUUGUGGCCAUUGAUCAUUUGACUAAGUAGGCUAAGGCAGAAGCUUCAUAGCUAAUCACUACUGAUAAGGUGAUCACCUUUGUAAGGAAAAAUAUUUUUGCAGAUUUGGCAUUCCCAAAGUAAUUAUCACUGAUAGUGGCACUAAGUUUGGAAGCUAUAAAUUCAAAUCUUUCUACUCAAAAUGGAGUAUUGAUCUCCAAUAUGCUUCCACUUAUCAUCAAACCAAUGGAAUGACAUAAGUCACUAAUCAUAUCAUUUUGAAUGGUUUGAAGCGGAGGCUAGACAAAGCUAAGGGGAGGUGGCCAAAUGAGUUGACACAUGUUUUGUGGG